AUUUGCUUAACAUCACAUGGCUCUGUAUCAUCACUCAAUUCCAAGUUCGGUAAUAGUUUAAACCUGGAUUAGUAUGUGGAUUCUAACACGAAUAAAACUCUUGAGGUCGAGCGAAAUGCUACUUUUGAUGAGAAAAAACAGAAAGUGUGUGCAAAUGCCUUACAAUAUUUAUCCAAUCAUUCCUUCACAGGGAAGUUCAUGAAGAAGUAAAUCAAGCAAGGGAAAACAUGUCUCAACUAAAGAUGCGCAGACAAGAACAGAUUGCUGCUCGUCGAGAGAAAUUAAAGCAGACCUACCUCCGCAAGCAGCUCGAGAAAUUGAAAGCAUCCAAAACAGACCAAACCUAAUGCAAUGUGAAUGUCUUUGUCCUUCUUUCAAAAUUUUAUUAUAAGAAUCUCAUUAGUUUUAUCAGCACAUGCCUCUGAAAUUUUUUUCCCUCCAUAUAUCCCAACUACAGUUAAGUCAUGUAAGUUUUGGUCUAUAUAAAUUCCCUUCUGUAGUACUCGAAUUACUAUCAUCAAUGGAAGUGCCAUAUAGUAAUUUUCCGCAGAAAGUUGGUUGUUAAUCACACAAUUGAGCCUCCUUUGAAAGACUGUUUUGCCAUGCUUUUAAGGACGGGAGAGUAACAGAGAAGAAAAAGAAGUUUAAACCUUCUAACCUUAUCUAGCACUGUGUACCAAACACCCACAAUGUCAAUAAACAGUGCAUAUGCACAGGAAUUGUAGGUGAGACAAUCUGUGGACUUGAAAUGUAUUGCAUGUACACUUGGAAAAGGGGAAUAAACUGAUCAUUGGUCAAGAAUUGUGCUGUAUUUAUCUUUUUUUUUUUCCCUCAAGUUUUAGAAAUUACGCUGAUGGUUUUCGAGUUGUGCUGUUUUUUAG
rnacentral:lncRNA from 1 species